rnacentral:rRNA from 1 species
GGUUCGGUGCCCUCGGGUCGCUUAGCCUCAAAUUUAUUUGAGGCUUUGUGUGUUCCGAGGUUAAGACAGGCCCCUUUUUUUUUUCUGAAAAGAAAGGGGUUGAUUUAAUGUCUGUGCCGACCAUCUUUUCCGGAAAGAUCGGUCUACCCUUAGCUGGGCUGGACUGAUUAGGGGUUUUCCACAAAUUUCUGGAUCUUUUACUGUGAAAAAAUUAGAGUGUUUAAAGCAGGCAUGAUUUGCAUUUGAAUACAUUAGCAUGGAAUAAUAAGAUAGGACUUCGGUUCUAUUUUUAUUGGUUUAUAGGACUGGAGUA